rnacentral:rRNA from 1 species
CAGCCGCCACGGUAAUACGGAGGGGGCAAGCGUUAUCCGGAAUUAUUGGGCGUAAAGGGUACGUAGGUGGCCUUUUAAGCGUAGGGUAUAAGGCAAUGGCUCAACCAUUGUUCGCCCUAUGAACUGGAAGGCUUGAGUGCAGGAGAGGAAAGCGGAAUUCCUAGUGUAGCGGUGGAAUGCAUAGAUAUUAGGAGGAACAUCAGCGGCGGAGGCGGCUUUCUGGACUGUAACUGACGCUGAGGCUCGAAAGCGUGGGGAGCAAACAGGAUUAGAUACCCCUGUAGUCCCUGUCUCUUAUACA